rnacentral:rRNA from 1 species
UACGUAGGGUGCGAGCGUUAAUCGGAAUUACUGGGCGUAAAGCGUGCGCAGGCGGUUCGUUGUGUCGGCGGUGAAAGCCCCGGGCUCAACCUGGGAAUGGCCGUUGAAACUGGCGAACUGGAGUGUGGCAGAGGGGGGUGGAAUUCCGCGUGUAGCAGUGAAAUGCGUAGAGGUGCGGAGGAACACCGAUGGCGAAGGCAGCCCCCUGGGCUGACACUGACGCUCAGGCACGAAAGCGUGGGGAGCAAACAGG